UUCUUAGUUCUUACUAGCUAUCUCAACAGCUACUUCUUCGUCCAAAGUUGCAGCAAAACCAUUGAUGUGCCUUGUGUACGAGUAAAAGAUGGAGUCUUUGGCUGUAUUAGAACUACAAAGAAGCAAGCUCAAAUCAAAGCAAGGUAAAAAAUUGUACCACUUGAGAUGUUAUAAAUUAUAAUUGCAUUUUUUGUUCAUACCUUCCUAAGAAAGAUCCCAGAAAGUCAUGGUGGGACUGUGUCACUUGAUUGAAGUCAACUGAGGAUAAUUCUGGGCCGUGUGAGUGGGCUCCCAAGUACACCACAUAUGACUACAAUUAAAAUGGUGCACUGCAGGGAUUAGACUAGACCACAAGGAUUAUUUAUCUUUUUCAAGGUUGCAAAUUGCAAUGCCUCACCUUUUUCACUGCAAAGCUGGGUCUGUGCAAUAGACAGACUAGAAGAAUUUGGAGCAGAAAGUGGAUGGAAGGAC
rnacentral:lncRNA from 1 species